AUAGUACUCCCUCUGUCACAAAUUACUUCUCGCAAGAAUGGAUGUAUCUAGACAUAUUUUUAGCUCUAGAUACAUCCAUUUCUAGACAAGUAAUUCGGGACGGAGGGAGUAUAAU
rnacentral:pre_miRNA from 1 species